GAUGUUUUUGUCUCACUCUGAUAUCUAUGUCUGACAUGUACAGAAUGAGUUCUUCUAAAUCAUCAGGAAGGUCCCUAGCAGCCAGUUCAUCCUGCAGCAUCUCACUUAGGCCUAGCAGUCAGAGCAUUAUUGUUCCAUGACACUUCAGAAGAACUGUGAAGAACUGUCUGCAAUGGGUCUGAUAUCUUUCAGCCAAGAGGACUAAACACUUCCUUAAAGGCUUCUAUGAAGCGAACAUAACCAAAAGGCUCAUUACGUUCCCAUAGUAGGUUGUUCAAGGCCAAGGUUUCCAUCAGGUGGAUUCAUUAUGAAAUCCACUUAGGAUCUGUCAGUGGGAAAAGAGUUGGGGACCAUUUCGAUAUGUAGCCCUAUCUGGUUAAGAAAGACUGCACAACGUGAGGUCACCUGUACACCUAGUCGGAGGUGUGAAAUGUACCAAAGGAGUGAACACUGCGGUAGAAGGAGCAGAGGAUUUCCCCUUUAAUCCCAGUAGCUUGAUCUUCAGGUUAAAGACAUGGUUCUGGAAAAGAUUGUUUGCAAAACCUGCGCAAAUUGAUCAUUUCUAUGAUCAAAUUGCUCCAUUAUAACUUCAUAGGAAGCUAGUUGUUGCCCCAUGUUUG